rnacentral:rRNA from 1 species
CCCUUAGGUGUCCUGGGCUGCACGCGCGCUACACUGAUGUGUCCAGUAAGCACCUAACCUCUUCCGAAAGGAACGGGUAACCUUUGCAAAGCACAUCGUGAUGGGGAUAGAUUAUUGCAAUUAUUAGUCUUGAACGAGGAAUUCCUAGUAAGCACAAGUCAUCGGCUUGUGUUGAUUACGUCCCUGCCCUUUGUACACACCGCCCGUCGCUCCUACCGAUUGAAUGUUCCGGUGAGCUCUUCGGACUGCGCGGUCUGCAGUUUCUGCGUUCCGUGCGGAAAGUUGCGCAAACCUUAACAUUUAGAGGAAGGAGAAGUCGUAACA